rnacentral:rRNA from 1 species
UGAGGAAUAUUGCUCAAUGGCCGCAAGGCUGAAGCAGCAACGCCGCGUGAGGGAUGAAGGAUCUAUGGUCUGUAAACCUCUGUAGAGAAGGAAAAAUAACCCAUUAUAUGGGCUUGAUAGUACUUCUAGAGUAAGCCCCGGCUAACUACGUGCCAGCAGCCGCGGUAAUACGUAGGGGCGAGCGUUGUCCGGAAUCACUGGGUGUAAAGGGUGCUCAGGCGGGUCGAUAAGUCAGAGGUGAAAUUUCACAGCUUAACUGUGAAUGUGCUUUUGAGACUGUCGGGCUAGAGUUCAGAAGAGGGCAAUGGAAUUCUUGGUGUAGCGGUGAAAUGCGUAGAUAUCAAGAAGAACACCAGUUGCGAAGGCGGUUGCCUGGUCUGUAACUGACGCUCAAGCACGAAAGCGUGGGGAUCAAACA